GUCACGGUGACGUCACAGCGGAGGCACCAUGGCGGCCCUGAGCGGUCUGGCGUCGGCGCUGGAGUCGUAUAGGGGCCGCGACCGCCUGAUCCGAACGCUGGGUUACUGCUGCCAGCUGGUGGGCGGGGUCCUGGUGGAGCAGCGUGCUACCAGGUCAGAAGUGGGGACGCGCCUGCUGGUACUGUCCUCCCAACUCAGCCACUGCAGGACCAUCCUGCGACUCUUUGAUGACCUGGCCAUGUUUGUCUACACUAAGCAGUACGGCCUUGGGGCAGAGGAGGAGGACGUCUUUGUCCGCUGUGUGUCUGUUCUGGGCAACCUGGCCGACCAGCUCUACUACCCCUGUGAGCACGUUGCUUGGGCUGCUGAUGCCAAAAUCCUCCACGUGGACUCUGCCCGGUGGUGGACACUGAGCACAACCUUCUGGGGCCUCUCCCUGCUCCUAGGGAUUGCUAGGUCCCUGUGGAUGGUCCUGAAGCUGAGACGGAGGCUGAGGAGCCCCCAGGUAGCCUCCCUAAGGUAUGAUGUCCAGGGUUUUGCCCCAGUUUUAGAAAGGCCGACUUCCUGCAGGCUGGGGUCCCCCGUGGGUUUUCCAGCCAGGGAGUGUCCAGAGUCACCAGUGGUCAACCCUGCCCUGUGCAGGCCCUGUGCUGGGGUGUGAUGUGGGCAAGAUUGAGGGGCCUCAGGGCAACCUUGGGUGGAUGAUAGCACCUUUACAGAUGGGGCACCCAAGGCCAGCUGGAGGCCUCACAGACAGGAAAUGCAGAGCCACGACUCGAGGGUUGAGCCUUCGCGGCCGGAUCCCCAUCAGGGAGGAUGAGCAGAGCUGGUGGCCCCGGGGCAAGCAGAGGGCCGUGGAGGCCCAGAUCCGGUCGGAGGUGCUGACCCUGCUGAGCAACUUGGCUGACCUAGCCAACGCAGUGCACUGGCUACCCCCGGGCAUCCUGUGGUCUGGCUGCUUGCCCCCGUGGGUGGUGGGCCUCCUGGGUACCAUCUCCUCCCUCCUCAGCGUGUACCAGGCAGUCCAGGCCGGUGGCCAGGCCAACGCUGACCCCUGAUGGGACCCAGGUGCCCAUGGACUCGGCUGGAAGCCCAAUGAGGGUCCCUUCCCAAGGGCAACGAUGGCCCGGGUGGGAGCUGGGUCUUUCAUGGAGCAAAUCAAGGCCAGGUGCACCUGUGGCCCCCCAGGACCAGCGUCCUCUGGGUAGGCUUCUCUCCGGGGCAGAGCGGAAAGAUCCCACGAGUCUGUGCAGAGAAUAAGGGCACCGCAGGCUGGAGUACUGAAUCCAGUAAAGGCGAGCGGGGGAGCAGGGACAGGUGGCCUGCACCAGGGGGUGCGUGAGGAAGGUCUGAAUGAGAGUCAAUUAAAUGCUGUGGGGCUGCUGCA